UACGGGGGGGGCAAGCGUUGUUCGGAAUUACGGGGCGUAAAGGGCCCGUAGUCGGCCAACUAAGUCGGAUGUGAAAUCCCCAGGCUUAACCUGGGAACUGCAUCCGAUACUGGAUGGCUUGAAUUCGGGAGAGGGAUGCAGAAUUCCAGGUGUAGCGGUGAAAUGCGUAGAUAUCUGGAGGAAUACUGGUGGCGAAGGCGGCAUCCUGGACCGACAUUGACGCUGAACGGCGAAAGCUAGGGGAGCAAACGGG
rnacentral:rRNA from 1 species